GCUGUUCCUGGUAGUUGUGGAGUUGUGAUACGGUCGUAGAUAAGAUGAGUUUCGUAACUUAACAGCACCGUUUCACUCUCUUAACACAGGGUCUUACAGUCUGCAAAAGGAGACCUUGGCCUGGUUACUCGAACUACGUGACUGCCUUCGGGCGUUUUGGCGUUUGCGUACAGCUUCUGACGGUGCCGGUGUCGCGCACAUGCGACAUUAAAUUGAUGCAUCGAGUACCGUGUGGUGAAAGCAACAGAAAGUGAACACAUUAAAGGAUGGCGUCUAAACGGACGCUCAAAGGAACAACUCCAGGGAAGAAGCCAGAGGAAAAGAGGUACAGCCAGUUUCCAAGAGACUCUGUUAGCUUGUUCGCCGAGUCCAAUGGGAUAACCGGUGUAUCUGAUCAAGCCCUCAGCCUACUCACGGAAGAUGUCAAUUACAGGCUUCGUGAGCUAGCCCAGAACUGUGGCCAAUUCAUGCGGCAUGCUAAAAGGCGCAAGCUGACUUGCAACGAUAUUGAGCGUGCACUACGUUGGAGUGAUUCACAGCCCUCUUAUGGAUGCAGCGGAGACGAUCCGCUUCCAUUUCGGCAUGUCCGAGAGGCUGAUGUGUUUUGCACUGAUGACAGCAUGGUGGACCUGGCGGAUGAAUUGGACUCUCCCCUUCAGCUUGACCUGCCACCAGAACCAAGUGUCCAUGGGCGCUGGUUGGUGGUGGAAGGCGUGUCACUUGAACCGGACCCCGACAAGCCUAUGCCUGCAAUCCAAGAAAUGGACGGCAGCAAAGGUGUGCACACAGACGUCAAUGCAAGCCACAUGCAGUACUAUGAGGAGAUCACCAAGGCCCUGCUAGGCAGCGACAAGCAGCUUGUCGAUGUUGCCUUGGAGGAUCUGGCCAGCAACCCUUGCCUGAGUCCUCUGCUGCCAUAUUUGGUGCACUUUGUCUCUCUUGGGGUUCGCAAGCUCAGCCAUGACCUUGCCAGCCUGGACCGGUUGCUGCACGCCAUUGGCGCCUUGGCCCAGAACACUUCGCUAAAUUUGGACACCCUGCCCUACCCAACAAUGGUGGUGCAAGCACUCCUCUUCUGCCUGCUGGAGCCGCUGGCAGCUGCCAUCAAUCCAGCCAAUGACCACUGGGCACUGAGGGACAAUGCAGCGCAGUUGCUUGCUGCCUUACUCAAGUUUUGGGCCGACCGCGUGGCAGGUCUCGAGAGUCAAGUGUUGGACGCACUGGGGGAGUGCGUGAGAGACCCCUCGUUGAAGCCUCUGUGUGCCCAAUAUGGAGCUGUGUCGGGACUGACUGCACUGGGUGUAGAGGCAAUGCAGCAGGUUCUGGGGCCGCACCUGGAAGCCUACUGGCGCCACCUGGAGGCUGUUCUCGCAGACUGCCGGCCAGCCAAUGCACAGGCCCAGGCAGACGCCACUCGAGUCCAUGGGGCACUCCUGUUGGCAGCGGAGAAGCUGGUGAAGGAGCAACGUCGGGAGAUGGCUCGAAGUGAAUCAUCCGGGGCCUCAUACAACCUCCUCUAUGACUGCUUUGGAGAUGCCUUGGCCUCAAGGCUGCCCUUGCUGUAUGGAGCGGCCCAGCUCCUCUAUGCACCACGACAGGCGUCAUUAAAAGCAGAAGGUGGACGAGGCAGCCCCACGGGAGAACAGUUGCUCGAGGCCUUCUAUGAGGAAGAACGCAGCCCCUCCGCGGCUGAAGAGGACAACAACUCAGAGGAGAGCAACCUUAGCGGGCCUCCUCAUAACAUCCACCCCCAGGUGAAGAGCACCAUAUCUGACCCUGCAAGAGGGAUCCGCCUGACCAUUGCGUUACGGAGGCUCCCCAGCGAAUCGAAGCAGCCACGCAAGAAGCGACCCCCAGGAGCAAGUCCACACCGCGAGCCCCCCUUCGAGGUUGUUCCCUGGACACCCGUGCCACGUAAAGCCACCAUCAACAUCUGCUUUGAAGGUGCAACACCAGUGGUGCGCCCCACACCAGAGCCGCCAGCACCAGCAGAGGGCGAGUGGCGCACAACCCAGCUGAGUCGGCGCAUGGGACGGGUGGGGCGGGGAGCACGGAGACGGAGAGCGUACCGGGAUAGACACACUGGUGCUGGCGUCGAUGCAAUACUCUGAGAGCACCUCAACAGGGUCAGCCGAGCACAGAACGCGCACAGCCUCACCACACACUUUGCCCUUUGCAUAAUUCCGCACUGCACUUCGCGAAUCGCACAACACUGUCUGGCACCCGGGAUCGGCAAUGGCCAGGGCAAUGGCCACCUCCUCCGCCUGACCCGCCUCGCGGACCCGUAAGCUCCCCGCUGCCCUCGUCGUGCCGGACGACGCCUCGAUGACGAUUGUCCUUGACUUGAGCAGCACACAGAAGACGUGGGAUGGAAAGAGGGAAGGCAACGCACCUCUGGAAUGAGCCGUGUUACCAGCUGGACCAGUGCCAACUGCAGAAGAGCUUUGCCAUCCCGAACUUUUGUCACCGGCAAGAGCACUCUAGAGCAGAUCUCCGUUUCUUGAAUGCCCCUGCAGCUGUAUUGUUCAGCACUCUGGAUUUUGUCAUGCCCAGCUUCUCCGUGCGAGGCGCAGCUAUGCCAACUCCAUUGAGCCCAUCUCCAACUGGAGCAUAAGUUGAUUAAAGGAGUACUGACACAAAAAAUUUGGAUCACAUUUUUUCUGCUUUAAUAAGUAGCUAAUGACCCAGUAACCACGGCGCGAAACCUCAUUUACUUCAGAGCACAUCCAAGUUUCGGUUUCUAAGUGCAACGAGAUAGGCCAAAGAAGGAAGUAAACACAACUGGGCACGUGAUCGCAAGAACCUCCGACGUAUGCUCUGAUGUGCACGCUGGCGCACGAGCUUCAUGUUGCUAGUUUAUCUGCUACACCUGCACAUGCUUUGCAAUGUCCUCGCCACCAUCAUCGUCGUUUUCGUCCAGCGGCAACAAUUUCUUGCAGGUGGGAGUCGCCGCUAUAUUAUGAUCGUUCCCCACCUGCAGCAAGUUGUUUUUUCAUCCACUUUCAUUUCCAUUAAUUUAUCAUUUCUUUAUUUAAUUUAUUAAGCACAAGUAGUUCCCUCUAUGUUGUUCUUGGUGCCAGUGUUUGUUGGCUUCUUAUGAUAUGACUAAUAAAAAUUGGGCUUCUCGGU